UUCAGGUGAGUACGGCGCUUCUGGGUAUGGACCUACUGGUGAAACAGGUACAGACUGUUUAGUUUGAUAUCCUAGAUGAAAAUAAAACUACAAAUCUAUUUAUGUCUAUUAAUUUCUUCUUCUGUAUAUUUAAACAUACCGGUUUAUAUAAUUAGUAACAAGAGAAAACAAAUGGGUUAAAAUCAAACUAUUCGAUAUAGUUUCUAUUUCUUUUAGAGCCCUGCACAAUUUAGAAUAAAUGGCUUUAAUAAAAAAAACGA
rnacentral:sRNA from 1 species